GAGGGAGCGGCGGACGGGUGAGUAACGCGUGGGAAUAUGCCCUUCUCUGCGGAAUAGCCACUGGAAACGGUGAGUAAUACCGCAUACGCCCUUCGGGGGAAAGAUUUAUCGGAGAAGGAUUAGCCCGCGUCUGAUUAGGUAGUUGGUGGGGUAAUGGCCUACCAGCCUACAUCAGUACUGGUUUUAGAGGAUGAUCAGCCCACUGGGACUGAGACACGGCCCACUCCUACGGGAGGCAGCGUGGGGAAUCUUAGACAAUGGGCGCAAGCCUGAUCUAG
rnacentral:rRNA from 1 species